CCUACGGGUGGCUGCAGUGAGGAAUAUUGGUCAAUGGCCGGAAGGCUGAUCCAGCCAUGCCGCGUGAAGGUCAGUGCCCUAUGGGCGUUAAACUUCUUUUGUGCGGGAGCAAUAAUGGUCACGUGUGGCCAGACGAGAGUACCGUACGAAUAAGUAUCGGCUAACUCCGUGCCAGCAGCCGCGGUAAUACGGGGGAUGCAAGCGUUAUCCGGAUGUAGUGGGUUUAAAGGGUGCGUAGGCUGUGAGGUAAGUCAGCGGUGAAAUGCCCCCGCUCAACGGGGUGAAGUGCCAUUGAUACUGCCUGGCUGGAAUGCGGAUGCCGUAGGAGGAAUGUGUGGUGUAGCGGUGAAAUGCAUAGAUAUCACACAGAACACCGAUUGCGAAGGCAUCUCACGAAUCCGCGAUUGACGCUGAUGCACGAAAGCGUGGGUAUCAAACAGGAUUAGAUACCCGUGUAGUC
rnacentral:rRNA from 1 species